AUACGGAGGUUGCGAGCGUUGUUCGGAAUUACUGGGCGUAAAGGGAGCGCAGGCGGUCCGGUAAGUCUAAAGUGAAAGCCCGGGGCUUAACCUCGGAAGUGCUUUAGAUACUGCCGGUCUUGAGUUCGUGAGAGGAGAGCGGAAUUCCAGGUGUAGCGGUGAAAUGCGUAGAUAUCUGGAGGAACACCGGUGGCGAAAGCGGCUCUCUAGCACGACACUGACGCUGAGGCUCGAAAGCAUGGGUAGCGAACAGGAUUAGAUACCCUGGUAGUCCAUGCCAUAAACGUUGUGCACUAGGUGUGGGAGGUAUCGACCCCUUCCGUGCCGCAGCUAACGCAUUAAGUGCACCGCCUGGGGAGUACGGUCGCAAGACUGAA
rnacentral:rRNA from 1 species